rnacentral:rRNA from 1 species
AUACCUUUAUGUUGCCUCGGCGGAUCAGCCCGCGCCCCGUAAAACGGGACGGCCCGCCGCAGGAACCACAAAACUCUGAUUUUAGUGUAACUUCUGAGUCUAAAAAACAAAUAAAUCAAAACUUUCAACAACGGAUCUCUUGGUUCUGGCAUCGAUGAAGAACGCAGCAAAAUGCGAUAAGUAAUGUGAAUUGCAGAAUUCAGUGAAUCAUCGAAUCUUUGAACGCACAUUGCGCCCGCCAGUAUUCUGGCGGGCAUGCCUGUUCGAGCGUCAUUUCAACCCUCAAGCCCCCGGGUUUGGUGUUGGGGAUCGGGCUGUACUCCAGCCCGGCCCCGAAAUCUAGUGGCGGUCUCGCUGCAGCCUCCAUUGCGUAGUAGCUAACACCUCGCAACUGGAACGCGGCGCGGCCAAGCCGUUAAACCCCCAACUUCUGAAUGUUGACCUCGGAUCAGGUACGCCCACCCGCUGAACUUAAGCAUAUCAAUAAGCGGAGGAAAA